rnacentral:rRNA from 1 species
CGGGCGGCUGCAGCAGUGGGGAAUAUUGGACAAUGGGGGAAACCCUGAUCCAGCAAUGCCGCGUGUGUGAAGAAGGCCUGCGGGUUGUAAAGCACUUUCGGUUGGGAGGACUGCUUCUAGCACUAAUAUUGUUGGAAGUUGACGUUACCUUCAGAAGAAGCACCGGCUAACUCCGUGCCAGCAGCCGCGGUAAUACGGAGGGUGCAAGCGUUAAUCGGAAUUACUGGGCGUAAAGCGCGCGUAGGCGGCUAGAUCAGUCGGGUGUGAAAGCCCCGGGCUUAACCUGGGAACUGCAUCCGAUACUGUCUAGCUUGAGUACAGGAGAGGAGAGUGGAAUUCCACAUGUAGCGGUGAAAUGCGUAGAUAUGUGGAGGAACACCAAUGGCGAAGGCAGCUCUCUGGCCUGAUACUGACGCUGAGGUGCGAAGGCGUGGGGAGCAAACAGGAUUAGAUACCCCGGUAGUC